rfam:Bacillus sp. 2_A_57_CT2 genomic scaffold supercont1.2, whole genome shotgun sequence.
GGUACCUUUAAAUCAGUCCCGUGAGGCUGACAAGGACAGCGGAAGUAUGAUGCCAAUGGGUGAGGUGCAGCCUGCCCAUGGGUUCUUCAUGCAGGAAAAAGGCUUCUUGUCGGAAAACGGCGAGAAGCCUUUUUCU